UGAAUACGAGACGCUACGGCGUCGAAGCAGUCUAUGUCAUACUUCCAAGAAAAGCUUGCACUGUCAUAAACAAAUAAUGCCUGUACCAUAACCGACACAGGUGGGUAGGUAGAGUAUACUAAGGGGCGCGAGAUAACUCUCUCUAAGGAACUCGGCAAAAUGACUCCGUAACUUCGGGAGAGGGAGUGCCUUAUUUAUAAGGUUGCAAUAACAAGAUCCAAGCAACUGUUUAUCAAAAACACAGGUCUCCGCUAAGUCGUAAGACGAUGUAUGGGGGCUGACGCCUGCCCAGUGCCAGAAGGUUAAAGAAGCUGGUUAGCAUUAGCGAAGCUGAUAACUGAAGCCCUGGUGAACGGCGGCCGUAACUAUAACGGUCCUAAGGUAGCGAAAUUCCUUGUCGGGUAAGUUCCGACCCGCACGAAAGGCGUAAUGAUUUGGAUACUGUCUCGGAGAGGGGCUCGGUGAAAUAGACUUGUCUGUGAAGAUGCGGACUACCUGCACCUGGACAGAAAGACCCUAUGAAGCUUUACUGUAACCUGAAAUUGAAAUUGGACUUUAUUUGCGCAGUAUAGGUGGGAGGCGUUGAGAAUAUUCUUGCGGGAAUAUUGGAGCCAUCAGUGAGAUACCACUCUUGUAAUGUUAGAUUUCUAACUUUGAAUCAUUAUCUGGUCAAAGAACAGUUUCAGGCGGGCAGUUUGACUGGGGCGGUCGCCUCCUAAAUGGUAACGGAGGCGCACAAAGGUUUCCUCUGAACGGGUAGAAAUCGUAUCUAGAGUGUAAAGGCAUAAGGAAGCUUGACUGUGAGACCUACAAGCCGAGCAGGGACGAAAGUCGGUCUUAGUGAUCUGACGGUGCUGAGUGGAAAGGCCGUCACUCAACGGAUAAAAGUUACUCUAAGGAUAACAGGCUGAUCUCCCCCAAGAGUUCACAUCGACGGGGAGGUUUGGCACCUCGAUGCCGGCUCAUCGCAUCCUGGGGCGGUAGUACGUCCCAGGGGUUGGGCUGUUCGCCCAUGAAAGCGGUACGCGAGCUGGGUUCAGAACGUCGUGAGACAGUUCGGUCCAUAUCCGGUGUAGGCGUUAGAAUAUUGAGAGGAGCCUUCUUUAGUACGAGAGGACCGAGAAGGACAUACCUCUGGUGUACCAGUUAUCGUGCCAACGGUAAACGCUGGGUAGCUAUGUAUGGAGAGGAUAACCGCUGAAAGCAUCUAAGUGGGAAGCCCACCUCAAGAUAAGUAUUCGC
rnacentral:rRNA from 1 species